UACGUAGGGUGCGAGCGUUAAUCGGAAUUACUGGGCGUAAAGCGUGCGCAGGCGGUUCGUUAAGACAGAUGUGAAAUCCCCGGGCUUAACCUGGGAACUGCAUUUGUGACUGGCGAGCUAGAGUAUGGCAGAGGGGGGUAGAAUUCCACGUGUAGCAGUGAAAUGCGUAGAGAUGUGGAGGAAUACCGAUGGCGAAGGCAGCCCCUGGGCCAAUACUGACGCUCAUGCACCGAAAGCGUGGGGAGCAAAGAGG
rnacentral:rRNA from 1 species